GCCCAACUUCUCAACGGCCCCAUUGGAGUUUUGUAGGUUCGGACAUGUCAUUAGCCAGGUAAUUGUAGUCAAUAAAUGUCCAUUAAUUUCGGUCUAUUAGCAGCAUUUUGAGCACCUACAGUACGCUCCUAAAAGUUUUUUAACUACAGAAACCACCCUACCUAAAAAGAUUACAGAAACAAAUAUUUACAACCAAAAACAAAAGCAAAAAAACACAACAAAAAAUAAAUUACAAAGUUCCUAAAUCCCCUCCGUACAGAUUGACAGCGGCAUCUUCCCGUGCCGACCAGUGCUCGCCAGAGGUCCUCCCCAUCGCAGCAACCCUUGUGGCCGGCACGACUCCAGCGUUCUCGAGGACGGCGCUUCGCCCCAUCUUAGCUCGCGUGUGAUGCCCCAGGACCAUGGAGGCCCGGCGGUGCAGACAGAUCUUGUGCAUGUCGGCGCCGUACGAAUUGCCCUGGCAACCUCAACCGCGCACAGGGGACAAAUAUGGCCGGCGACAUAGGGCUCCGUCGUGGUUCAACGGGAAGCCAUCCCAUGGGUGGCGCGGUCCCCGGUCAGGCCUCGAUGGGAGCCACCCCGCUGGCGAUGUAGCCCCCGGUCGGGACUCAACGGGAGGCCAUCCUGCUGGCGUGCCGGCCGCCGUCGCUCCGGAAGUGGAGGCCGUCGCACCUUUUGGCCUUUGGUGACAGCAUGCGCCAUGGCGCAGCUUCCAGGCUGGUGGACGGAGAUGACUAGGCGGCCCACCGCUGAACAAGCAAAGAAUUCGACGGCAUCUUGCGUGGUGGGGAUCCGUUUUGGUCUGGGGAUGGAGGAUGGAAGGUGCUGGGAGAAGGAAGAUGGGGCAGAGGAGUAGGCGAUGGAGAAGUGUCUAGAUGCUCGUGGAAAUUCAGCCGGCGGCUCCACUUGUGGUGGGCAAGAAAGAGUCAGGAUAAGGAACCAGUGUACCACCGUUGGAUUAGAGAAGAUCCGACGGCUGUGAAUGGCGAUCCGCGUGAGGGUGGAGUUAGCCAAUCAGAAGCCACGCUUUUUCUCACAU
rnacentral:rRNA from 1 species